GUCUUAUUGAAUAUAAUAAUAGGUCUGGUCUGCUCAAUGAAGAUUUAAAUAGCCGCAGUAAUUUGACUGUGCUAAGGUAGCAUAAUAAUUAGUUUUUUAAUUGAAAGCUGGAAUGAAGGGCUGAAUGAAAAAAUAUCUGUUUUAUUUAAAAUUUUAAAAUUUUAUAUUUGAGUUAAAAUGCUUAAAUGUUAUUAAAAGACGAGAAGACCCCUUAGAGUUUAAUAAUUAAAUAAUAUUAGAUUUUAGAAUUAUUAGAUUUAAUAUUAGUAUUGUUAUUUAAUUGGGGUGAUUGAAAAAUUUAUUUAACUUUUUUUAUUAAUACAUUAAUUUAUGAGAAAAUGAUCCUAAAUUUAGAUUAUAAGAGUAAAUUACCUUGGGGAUAACAGCGUAAUUUUAUUUUAGAGUUCAAAUUAAAAAUAAAGAUUGCGACCUCGAUGUUGGAUUAAAAUUUAAAUUUGGUGUAGAAGCUAAAUAUUUAAGUCUGUUCGACUUUUGAAAUUUUACA
rnacentral:rRNA from 1 species